GAUGUGGCGAGGAUUAAAUCAUAAAGAACAAUUAUCCACAUCGCAUUUGUGUGUGCUCUCAGUUUCUCGCCUCUUUCAAAUCGAGCAGCUAAAACCAAACAAACGUUUCUCUACCACUGAAACUGUGUGUCUGCUUCAAUGGCGUCUUUGCUUGAUUCCAUCACCAAAAUCCUGCUGCUUUCUCUGCUGAUCACGUCCUCGAUCUUAUCUGCUUCAGCAGUUACGGUUGGUUCUCACGUCAGGUUCACAGUACCAGACCUGUCUGAUUCAGAAUGGCAAACCCAGGUUCUCAAACCAGAUGUCCCAGUAUUGGUCGAGUUUUGGGAACCAAGGUGUGGACCAUGCGCUACGAUUCACCCCAUCGUUGACCAACUAGCUAAGGACUUCGCAGGCAAGUUCAAAUUCUACAAAAUCAACACCGAUGAGAGCCCAAACACAACCAAUCGUUAUGGAAUAAGCAGCGUUCCGACCGUGAUCGUUAUUCAAAGCCGGUGAGAAGAAAGAUAGUAUCAUUGGAGCUGUCUCUAGAGAGACAUUGGAGAAAACUAUAGAAAGGUUCUUGGUCGAGUAACAAAACAAAUUUGACUCGUUCUCACUCAACCACCAUACUAUAGUUUCUCUGUUGUUAAUUCUUGUUAUGUUUUGUGGGUUUACUUUGUCUUGUUUUAUAAAUAAAUAAAUAUAAAAAAACUUCACCGACUCCAUUAAUGGAGAGGAUGAGAAGCACAACUCCAUGUGGAGCCACAUGUUAUUGUUCUUCCUAAGCUUCUAACUCACCGUACAACCUAUACAUGCAUAAAUAAAUGUCUUAAUUUUGAGUAUGUAGGCUUCCGUACUCUUUGAUUCUGUGUACUGCAUAGGACAUGUAGUAAUGCCACGCGGGUCUAUCCGUCUAUGUCUAUAUUAUACGUGUGUUUCAUUUCUAUUUUAGUAUUUUAAAUACUAUGUGCCUUGACAUCAAUAUAUAUACUAUACUAAAAGGUAAAUAACUUGAAAGGAAAGUGUGUCCACGUCACCGAAUUAAUUCGGACCAAUGAGAGACCAGCAAACCUCCACGUCAUGCCUUCCUUUUCUCUGAUGGGCUUGAACCGAAAUUCAGUCUGGGCUUCGAGGUUGCGUUGUUUGUCCCAGCCCGUAAGACCAAACCAUGCUCACAUCACUUUCUUGCGUAAACCCUAAGCGCCGCGUGCUCUCUCCAAUUUCGAGUCCUGUUCAUCUUCCUCUUCCAUCUGUUUCAGAGGCAAGCGUCUGUGAAAUCAAUUUCUCCCCACCUCUUCGCACUCUUUAAUCCUCCAUUAACCCCAUUAAUGGGGUCUGUUGGCUGCCUCCUUCGGAUCCUCUAUAAACCCUCCACUUCACGAGAUUCGAUUUACAUCCAAAUUGAUUUUCCUCUCUCCAAAUUCAAUCGCGAUGAAGACAACCGGUUCAAUCGAUUCUGUGAACUCGAAAAGCGAAGCGGCGGCCCUCUCCGCUCCGGUGAAAACCGGUGAUCAAUCCGGUGUUACUUCCGGCGUCGUCUCCUCGGUGAAGCCAGCGGUCACAACGUCUGCCUCAGCCGGUCCGGUCAACCCAGCCGUCAACUCCGGCGACGCUCCCGUCGAUGUGAAUUUGGUGAAGCCAAAAAAAGGUGCGACGGUCUCUUCCAGUCCAGGCCAUCAGUUCGUGAAGACCGGAGCUUCUUCUGGUGUAAGAAUCGGUGUCAGGAACAAAUCAACUGUCCCCAUCGGCGAUAAGGGCAAAUCCAUCGUCUCCGGCGAGGUUGGCGAGGUGAUCUCCUUCAGAGACGUAACCUUUGGACCCCACGAAGGCGAAGUCCGGUUCCGGCUGAUCCACUUCUGGGAGGCUUGGAAUAUUCAGACGAAGGUCCUACUCGGUGUCGAGAUGCUUCUCAUUGACGAAGAGGUUGAAGAAUCCAAAGCUUAAGAUGAACCAGAGGAGCGAUCCGGUGAUGGUAGAGGAGGAGGGGUCGGUUUCUAAUGGUGUAUGCUACAUAUGUCUACUCGGCAGUGGUAAUCCUCUGUACAGUCUCCUCUCUCUUCCUCCACAGUCCACGUCAAAUCUGGGCUUGUGAAUUGUGGAUGAUGGGUUAUAUAUAGUUUAUAUAGGCUGGAAAAGACAAUGGUAAGGAUUUGCCAUGAAGUUUGAUUCUGAUUUUGUCUCUGUUUUUGGUAAAAGAAGUUGAUGGAAAGGAUUUUCCAUGAAAGUUUGAAUCUUUUUUCUGUUUACUUAAUAGCUUUCUUUAGAUGACAAACUUCGUUUAAAAUUGUAAAGUUUGUUGUUUUAUCCAAUGUUUCUGACUUUAGCUGUGUAGAGAAGCAGUGAUCUUCGGAUUGCAUGUGUUUAAAGUUCAGCUUUUUAAUAUUGUUCAGAUUUAUGUCAUCUAAUCAAAAAAUUGAGGGACACAGACAUAUCAAAGCAUAACUUGCUGUUUUAUUUGGAGAGACCAUGGUGGAAGAGACGCAUCGGAAAGGCUUUGACAAUGAAUCCUUCACAUUUAACGCCAGGGAGAAAGACAGGAGAGCUGCAGCAGGAGACUCCGGCAAGCUCCGUCACGAGGAUAUGGUGCUACAAAAACAGAGAUAUGUCAAGGUCAUAGUUAGUGGUAUCGGUUUCGUUCUUUUCUCUUUUUACCCACCAGUUACUAUGCAAGUUUGGAUACUGCAUCAAAUAAUCUCUUUGAUUCUACUCUUUUAGUUUCACUGUAUUUCAGACAGUAGCUUUGGUUGGAUAGAGCGGAAGCUAGAAUACAACAUUAAUUUCUUCUUUUUUUCACUGUUUUACAACUGCAAGAGGUAUGAUUAUAAGACGGAGGAAGAAGAGAAUGAAUAUGUGGAGGACAAAGUUUCCCAAGAGGAUGUCGAGACUUUCUGUAACAAUACCUCUACUCCACUACGAUUACAACCAGAAAGGAUGAUGAAACUGGAGUCCAGAGCAAUAACGCAAUGUCUACUUGAAGAUGAAGAUAUCAUUGAAUAAGUUGAGAACUCAAAAGCAGAAGAUGGUUUGAAAGAGAUGUUGCAGGAUGUUGUGGUGAUUGAUAAGUGAAGUGACUCAGGAACCAUUGAAUAAGAAUGAAGAGAAUCUUAAAACUCAAGCUACUAUGCAGGAAGAAACUGCUAAUGAGCUGAGAGGAUCAGUCUUCUUUCCAUGUAGACAAGCUCCUUCACAUUCUGUCCCUGUCUUCGAAAAUCCCAAUGCUGGAUCAUCUGCAGAUGAUAUCGUCAACACCAUUAAGCUUUGUUUCAACCCCUGUCCUGACACCCCACAAGAAAAGAAUAUCAGUGGCUCUAAAAAGCGGAAGAAGAGCACAGAACCGUGUUCGUCUGAGAACAUCAAGAAGAAAGACACCGAAGCACAAACUGCUUUGAGUAAUUGCUUUGAGAAUUUGGGUUGAGAUUUUUCUAUACCAAUGAUCCCAAUGGAAAAAUCUAUCCAUAUAGUUAACGAUGCUUUGACAUAGAAUAUGUAAAUCUAUAUGUUAAUAAAGCUUUGACUUUUAGAGUCAAAAAAGAAAAACACAGUCUAAAAGACAGAGUACACCAACGCAGCUUGCGUAAUUGGCGAGGAUGGAUACUACAUGAAUAAAUGCAGCUAGGGGAAGUUGUUACUACCCAUUUAUCUGCUCU